UACGGAGGAUGCAAGCGUUAUCCGGAUUUAUUGGGUUUAAAGGGUGCGCAGGUUGUUUGAUAAGUCAGUGGUGAAAGUCUGUCGCUUAACGGUAGGAUUGCCAUUGAUACUGUUAGACUUGAAUAUGGAUGAGGUAGGCGGAAUGUGUAGUGUAGCGGUGAAAUGCAUAGAUAUCACGAGGAACUCCGAUUGCGCAGGCAGCUUACUAAACUACUACUGACGCUCAGGCACGAAGGCGUGGGGAUCAAACAGGA
rnacentral:rRNA from 1 species